rnacentral:rRNA from 1 species
CAGGCCUAACACAUGCAAGUCGAACGCCCCGCAAGGGGAGUGGCAGACGGGUGAGUAACACGUGGGAACGUACCCUUCGGUUCGGAACAACUCUGGGAAACUAGAGCUAAUACCGGAUACGAUCGCGAGAUGAAAGGUUCACCGCCGAGGGAUCGGCCCGCGUCUGAUUAGCUAGUUGGUGAGGUAACGGCUCACCAAGGCGACGAUCAGUAGCUGGUCUGAGAGGAUGAUCAGCCACAUUGGGACUGAGACACGGCCCAAACUCCUACGGGAGGCAGCAGUGGGGAAUAUUGGACAAUGGGCGCAAGCCUGAUCCAGCCAUGCCGCGUGAGUGAUGACGGCCCUAGGGUUGUAAAGCUCUUUUACCUGGGAAGAUAAUGACGGUACCAGGAGAAUAAGCCCCGGCUAACUUCGUGCCAGCAGCCGCGGUAAU